AGAGUGAACGCUGGCGGUAGGCCUAACACAUGCAAGUCGAACGGCAGCACAGUGGUAGCAAUACCAUGGGUGGCGAGUGGCGGACGGGUGAGGAAUACAUCGGAAUCUACCUUUUCGUGGGGGAUAACGUAGGGAAACUUACGCUAAUACCGCAUACGCCCGUUCGGGGGAAAGCCGGGGAUCGCAAGACCUGGCGCGGAUAGAUGAGCCGAUGUCGGAUUAGCUAGUUGGUGAGGUAAUGGCUCACC
rnacentral:rRNA from 1 species